GACGAAGGGGGCAAGCGUUGUUCGGAAUUACUGGGCGUAAAGGGCGCGUAGGCGGUUCUUUUAAGUCAGGCGUGAAAAGCCCUGGGCUCAACCUGGGAGUGGCGCUUGAUACUGGAGGACUAGAGAGUGGGAGAGGUUGGUGGAAUUCCCAGUGUAGAGGUGAAAUUCGUAGAUAUUGGGAAGAACACCGGUGGCGAAGGCGGCCAACUGGACCAUUUCUGACGCUGAGGCGCGAAAGCGUGGGGAGCAAACAGG
rnacentral:rRNA from 1 species